UACGUAGGGUGCGAGCGUUGUUCGGAAUUACUGGGCGUAAAGCGCACGUAGGCGGAUUGUUUAGUUAGGGGUGAAAUCCCGGGGCUCAACCCCGGAACUGCCUUUAAUACUGGCAAUCUAGAGUCCGAGAGAGGUGAGUGGAAUUCCGAGUGUAGAGGUGAAAUUCGUAGAUAUUCGGAGGAACACCAGUGGCGAAGGCGGCUCACUGGCUCGGUACUGACGCUGAGGUGCGAAAGCGUGGGGAGCGAACAGG
rnacentral:rRNA from 1 species